AUGGAAGCCUUCAGGCAUAGCUGACCAAGCUAGAUUUGAGCUUAGUCUCACAAGAUGCUAGCUACCGCUUCAUUGCACAUGAGUGCCAGCUGAUUCUGCAGUUUCAUCAGUGUACUAUAAUUAACUUCUGGGAAAAGUUAUGCCUCAUGGUUUGCAAUCUUACAUUAAUAAGCUUAGGUUAGAUGCUCUAAAACUCAUUUUGUCCAUAAUUUAAUCCCUAAUUGUACUGUACAAGGUAUGGAUUUAUUUGUUUACACUUCUGCUGAUUAGUUUUACCUUCUAGCCGACUGCUACUGCCACUUUUUAUCGGAUUGCAGUACUAUAAGUCAUAAGACCUAAUUAUGAACCACUUUUCACAAUGAUAAAAUACAGAGGCUGGGGCUUAAUAUCUUCUCCGGUCAAGAUAAUUUCUAUGUUGGUUU
rnacentral:misc_RNA from 1 species